UACGUAGGUGACAAGCGUUGUCCGGAUUUAUUGGGCGUAAAGCGAGCGCAGGCGGUCCGGUAAGUCUGAUGUGAAAGCCCACGGCUCAACCGUGGAACGGCAUUGGAAACUGGCGGACUUGAAUGUAGCAGAGGAAAGUGGAAUUCCAUGUGUAGCGGUGGAAUGCGUAGAUAUAUGGAGGAACACCAGUGGCGAAAGCGACUUUCUGGGCUAUGAUUGACGCUGAGGCUCGAAAGCGUGGGGAG
rnacentral:rRNA from 1 species